rnacentral:tRNA from 1 species
UGGGCUGUAGCUCAAUAGUAGAGUGCUUGCCUAGCAGGUAUGAGGUGCUGGGUUCAAUCUCCAGUACCCCAA